rnacentral:rRNA from 1 species
AGUAGCGGCGAGCGAAGCGGGAAGAGCUCAAAUUUAUAAUCUGGCACCUUCGGUGUCCGAGUUGUAAUCUCUAGAAAUGUUUUCCGCGUUGGACCGCACACAAGUCUGUUGGAAUACAGCGGCAUAGUGGUGAGACCCCCGUAUAUGGUGCGGACGCCCAGCGCUUUGUGAUACAUUUUCGAAGAGUCGAGUUGUUUGGGAAUGCAGCUCAAAUUGGGUGGUAAAUUCCAUCUAAAGCUAAAUAUUGGCGAGAGACCGAUAGCGAACAAGUACCGUGAGGGAAAGAUGAAAAGCACUUUGGAAAGAGAGUUAACAGUACGUGAAAUUGUUGGAAGGGAAACGCUUGAAGUCAGACUUGCUUGCUGAGCAAUCGGUUUGCAGGCCAGCAUCAGUUUUCCGGGAUGGAUAAUGGUAGAGAGAAGGUAGCAGUUUCGGCUGUGUUAUAGCUCUCUGCUGGAUACAUCUUGGGGGACUGAGGAACGCAGUGUGCCUUUGGCGGGGGUUUCGACCUCUUCACACUUAGGAUGCUGGUGGAAUGGCUUUAAACGACCCGUCUUG